rnacentral:rRNA from 1 species
CCUACGGGUGGCAGCAGUGAGGAAUAUUGGUCAAUGUGCGAGAGCCUGAACCAGCCAAGUCGCGUGAGGGAGUACUGCCCUAUGGGUUGUAAACCUCUUUUGUCGGGGAGCAAAAGCCGGAACUGUCCGGCUGUGAGAGUACCCGAAGAAAAAGCAUCGGCUAACUCCGGGCCAGCAACCGCGGUUAUACGGAGGAUGCGAGCGUUAUCCGGAUUUAUUGGGUUUAACGGGUUCGCAGGCGGGUUUUUAAGUCAGCGGUCAAAUCGUGGGGCUCAACCCCAUCCAGUCGUUGAAACUGGGGAUCUAGAGUGUGCGAGAGGUAUGCGGAAUGCGUGGUGUAGCGGUGAAAUGCAUAGAUAUCACGCAGAACGCCGAUUGCGAAGGCAGCAUACCGGUGCACAACUGACGCUCAGGCACGAAAGCGUGGGUAUCGAACAGGAUUAGAUACCCGGGUAGUC